GGCCCUCUAGCCCAACCGGAAGAGGUGCUCCGCUCAAAACGGAGAAGUUCAGGGUUCGAAUCCCUGGGGGGCCA
rnacentral:tRNA from 1 species